rnacentral:rRNA from 1 species
UACGUAGGCAGCAAGCGUUGUUCGGAGUUACUGGGCGUAAAGAGUGCGUAGGUGGUGCCCUAAGUCUGUUGUGAAAUCUCCCGGCUUAACUGGGAGGGUGCGGUGGAAACUGGGGUGCUUGAGUGUGGGAGAGGUAAGCGGAAUUCCUGGUGUAGCGGUGAAAUGCGUAGAUAUCAGGAGGAACACCAAUGGCGAAGGCAGCUCGCUGGAACGGAACUGACGCUGAGGCGCGAAAGCGUGGGGAGCGAACAGG